UAUAGAGAAUAAAGGUUUCACUGUUAUCAUUGUUCUCCAUUAAAGACUUGGGAAAAGCAUCCCUCAUCCCAGGGAUGAAGACUAUAGAGAUAGAUCUAAGAAGCAACUUGGGUUAUCCCAGUCGACGUACAUAGAAUAUUUAUGAGUAAAAUUUAUUCUAUCAUGAACACCAUGUAUGAGAUCGGAUAUGGUAUACUCACUAGGGAUAGUAAGUGGAUACCUGCA
rnacentral:lncRNA from 1 species